rnacentral:rRNA from 1 species
CACGCCCUAAACGAUGUNUACUAGUUGUCGGGGAUUAAUUUCCUUGGUAACGCAGCUAACGCGUGAAGUAGACCGCCUGGGGAGUACGGUCGCAAGAUUAAAACUCAAAGGAAUUGACGGGGACCCGCACAAGCGGUGGAUGAUGUGGAUUAAUUCGAUGCAACGCGAAAAACCUUACCUACGCUUGACAUGUCCGGAACCCUGAAGAGAUUUGGGGGUGCUCGAAAGAGAGCCGGAACACAGGUGCUGCAUGUCUGUCGUCAGCUCGUGUCGUGAGAUGUUGGGUUAAGUCCCGCAACGAGCGCAUCCCUUAUCAUUAGUUGCUACGCAAGGGCACUCUAAUGAGACUGCCGGUGACAAACCGGAGGAAGGUGGGGAUGACGUCAAGUCCUCAUGGCCCUUAUGUGUAGGGCUUCACACGUCAUACAAUGGUCGGUACAGAGGGUUGCGAAGCCGCGAGGUGGAGCCGAUUCCAAAAAACCGAUCGUAGUCCGGAUUGCAGUCUGCAACUCGACUGCAUGAAGUCGGAAUCGCUAGUAAUCGCGGAUCAGCAUGCCGCGGUGAAUACGUUCCC